rnacentral:rRNA from 1 species
GUAGGUGGCAAGCGUUGUCCGGAAUUAUUGGGCGUAAAGCGCGCGCAGGCGGGUCCUUUAAGUCUGAUGUGAAAGCCCACGGGCUCAACCGUGGAGGGUCAUUGGAAGCUGGGGGACUUGAGUACAGAAGAGGAAAGCGGAAUUCCAAGUGUAGCGGUGAAAUGCGUAGAGAUUUGGAGGAACACCAGUGGCGAAGGCGGCUUUCUGGUCUGUAACUGACGCUGAGGCGCGAAAGCGUGGGGGGCAAACAGGAUUAGAUACCCUGGUAGUCCACGCCGUAAACGAUGAGUGCUAAGUGUUAGGGGGUUUCCGCCCCUUAGUGCUGCAGCUAACGCAUUAAGCACUCCGCCUGGGGAGUACGGCCGCAAAGGCUG